AAGCGGUAGCCGGGCGGCGUCAAAAAAAUGACGGUUCGAUGAUGUUCUGCGCCAGCACGCACUCCAUGCCCUACAGUUAAAUUCUGCAGUGUCAAGUAGAGCAUCACCUUUAAAGGAUCGCGUAGAAGAUAGCUGCAAGAGGCAGCCCCAGACAAGCCACAAGGUCUCACUCACUGCUUCCCAGUCUUCUAAGAAGAGGAAGACAUCAGACACGCCAAGCACAUCUGACUUGGAGGACAAUUUAGUCCAAAGCAAAGUUAUUGACGCAAGUAAAGAAGCUAAAUU